GAGGUUUGCCAGACUGCCGCUGGUGCAAUGCCGGAAACGGGGCACUGGAGGAAAGUCCGGACUGCACAGGGCGGCGUAGCAGCUAACGGCUGUCCACCGAUGGCGCGGCGCGCAAGCGCGGCGCAGCAGGUGAGGAUCAGAGCAACAGAGACGAGUCGGGGCGGGGCAACCUGCCACGGGUGAAACGGGCAAUCUCUACGCGCAGCAAUACCAAGUAGGCAUGCGCCGGCCGCAGCGGUUCGCCGCGGCGGCCUGACCGGGGCCCCCGGAGCAUGCGGGUAGGUAGCACCGAGCCGCCGGGUGACCGGCGGCCCAGAUCAAUGGCAGUCACGCUGCGGGCGACCGCGGCGCACAGAAUCCGGCUUAUCGGCAGGCUUCACAA
rnacentral:RNase_P_RNA from 1 species